rnacentral:rRNA from 1 species
AGUGAACGCUGGCGGUAGGCCUAACACAUGCAAGUCGAACGGCAGCACAGGAGAGCUUGCUCUCUGGGUGGCGAGUGGCGGACGGGUGAGGAAUACAUCGGAAUCUACUCUGUCGUGGGGGAUAACGUAGGGAAACUUACGCUAAUACCGCAUACGACCUACGGGUGAAAGCAGGGGACCUUCGGGCCUUGCGCGAUUGAAUGAGCCGAUGUCGGAUUAGCUAGUUGGCGGGGUAAAGGCCCACCAAGGCGACGAUCCGUAGCUGGUCUGAGAGGAAGAUCAGCCACCAUGGAACUGAGACACGGUCCAGACUCCGACGGGAGGCAGCAGUGGGGAAUAUUGGACAAUGGGCGCAAGCCUGAUCCAGCCAUACCGCGUGGGGGAAGAAGGCCUUCGGGUUGUAAAGCCCUUUUGUUGGGAAAGAAAUCCAGCUGGCUAAUACCCGGUUGGGAUGACGGUACCCAAAGAAUAAGCACCGGCUAACUUCGUGCCAGCAGCCGCCGUAA